GAUGAACGCUAGCGGCAGGCCUAAUACAUGCAAGUCGAACGGUGUCUUCGGACAUAGUGGCGCACGGGUGCGUAACACGUAUGCAACCUACCCUACAUUGGGGGAUAGCCUUUCGAAAGGGAGAUUAAUACCGCAUAAGACAGUAGCUGGGCAUCCAGCAGCUGUUAAAGAUUUAUCGAUGUAAGCUGGGCAUGCGUCCAAUUAGCUAGUUGGUGAGGUAACGGCUCACCAAGGCAAUGAUUGGUAGGGGAACUGAGAGGUCAAUCCCCCACACUGGCACUGAGAUACGGGCCAGACUCCUACGGGAGGCAGCAGUAGGGAAUAUUGGGCAAUGGACGCAAGUCUGACCCAGCCAUGCCGCGUGCAGGAUGAAGGCGUUAUGCGUUGUAAACUGCUUUUAUACAGGAAGAAACGACUCUUGCGAGAGGCAUUGACGGUACUGUAUGAAUAAGCACCGGCUAACUCCGUGCCAGCAGCCGCUGUAACAC
rnacentral:rRNA from 1 species